rnacentral:rRNA from 1 species
CUAGCCGUAAACGAUGGAUACUAGGCGUUGUGAGUAUCGACCCUCACAGUGUCGUAGCUAACGCGUUAAGUAUCCCGCCUGGGGAGUACGCGCGCAAGCGUGAAACUCAAAGGAAUUGACGGGGGCCCGCACAAGCGGUGGAGUAUGUGGUUUAAUUCGAUGCAACGCGAAGAACCUUACCAGGACUUGACAUGUCGCGAAUCUCAGGGAAACUUGAGAGUGCCUUCGGGAGCGCGAACACAGAUGGUGC